GACGAACGCUGGCGGCGUGCUUAAUACAUGCAAGUCGAGCGAGGCCCCUCCUUCGGGAGGGUGUCCUAGCGGCGAACGGGUGAGUAACACGUGGGCAACCUGCCCUCAGCUCUGGGAUAACCCCGGGAAACCGGGGCGUAAUACCGGAUACGACCACAGCGGGCGAUCCGCUUGUGGUGGAAGAUUAUCGGCUGAGGAUGGGCCCGCGGCCUAUCAGCUAGUUGGUGGGGUAAGUGGCCUACCAAGGCAACGACGGGUAGCCGGCCUGAGAGGGCGACCGGCCACACUGGGACUGAGACACGGCCCAGACUCCUACGGGAGGGCAGCAGUAGGGAAUAUUGCGCAAUGGGCGAAAGCCUGACGCAGCGACGCCGCGUGAGGGAUGACGGCCUGG
rnacentral:rRNA from 1 species